GGACGAACGCUGGCGGUGUGCUUAACACAUGCAAGUGGUGCGACGAACCAGAGCUUGCUCUGGGGCAAAGCCGCGAACGGGUGAGUAACACGUGGGUAAUCUACCCCGAUGACCGGGACAACCCGAGGAAACUCGGGCUAAUACCGGAUGUGGUACGGAGACAUAAGUCUCUUUACUAAAGGUAGCUUCGGCUUCCGCAUUGGGAGGGGCCCGCGGCCCAUUAGCUAGUUGGUGGGGUCAAGGCCUACCAAGGCAACGAUGGGUAGCUGGUCUGAGAGGACGAUCAGCCACACUGGGACUGAGACACGGCCCAGAUUCCUACGGGAGGCAGCAGUGGGGAAUCUUGCGCAAUGCGCGAAAGCGUGACGCAGCAACACCGCGUGAGGGAAGACGGCCUUAGGGUUGUAAACCUCUUUCAGAUGGGACGAAGGUGAUGCGGUGAAUAGCCGAUGUCAUUGACGGUACCGUCAGAAGAAGCUCCGGCUAACUACGUG
rnacentral:rRNA from 1 species